rnacentral:rRNA from 1 species
AGAACUCCGUAGGAAUACAGAGGGGGCUUCGGAGCUCAUAUACAGUUGCUGCACGGCUGUCGUCAGCUCGUGUCGUGAGAUGUUGGGUUAAGUCCCGCCACGAGCGCGACCCUCGUCACUAGUUACUAACGGUUCGGGCGAGGACUCUAGUGAGACUGCCCUCGUAAGGAGGAGGAAGGUGAGGACGACGUCAAGUCAUCAUGGGCCUUACGGCUAGGGCAACACACGUGCUACAAUGGCCAGGACAGUGAGGAGCGAUACCGCGAGGUGGAGCAAAUCUAUAAACCUGGUCUCAGUUCGGAUUGUAGUCUGCAACUCGACUACAUGAAGCUGGAAUCACUAGUAAUCGUAGAUCAGCUAUGCUACGGUGAAUACGUUCCCGGGUUCUUGUACUCACCGCCCGUCACACCAUGGGAGUUGAUUUCAACCCGAAGCGGGGAAGCUAAACUGGCUACUCUCCACGGUGGAAUCAGCGACUGGGGUGAAGUCGUAACAAGGUAACC